rnacentral:lncRNA from 1 species
CGGACGGAAGAGAUAAAUGUUUAUCAAAAAGAAUAGAUUCAUGCGUUCUUUUAUAAUGAAGAAUAUGAAUAGCUUCAGCCUGAAAGUUCACACAGUCUUAAAUUAUUCUCAAUUUAUAAGAUCUUUGUGAGUUGGAGAAAUUCAGCGUCCGAUCACAGUGACCUUUCGUUUGACGAAAUUAAUCUGGAAAGAAGGUCGACGGCUAGCUCUGGCUCACCACCUAGCGCAGAAUCUGUUCGUUAAGAUGUAUGACUGUCCCCUGCGGAUGCUGUCUGCAAACGGAAAUACGACCUUGGACCAGGAGCUGGAGGCUGUGGAGCAUUUUGUCCAUACCAUAUCGUAGUAGCUGCAGUGCAUGUAACCUGCAUAUCAUCAGGUCAUGCACAUGUAACAGCGUAGAAACCAGGAAAAGAAAUGGAACUGGUGGAUUUGUGAUCAAUUCAAAAACUGCAAAUGGUAAGAGAUUUAAAUUUUCUCUUUUAGAAUAUCUUUACACAUUUUACUGGGUGGAGAAGGUGUAUGGUUUCAUGUCUUGUAUAAAUGAACCUGCCCCACACCUCUCUUUUUCUUUCUUCAAUUCCCCUCUAUUAUGGUCUGGGGUUUAUGUGGUUUGAGGGUAAAAAGCAUUAUUUUGAGGGGAAGUGCUGCCCAAAUUUUUUAUGAAGCUGGACUUAGUCAUUUUUUUUAAAUUUUGCCCCUGAAAGUUAUUUAUUAUUUUUGCAAUGAACAGAAAGACAUCUAUGCAUAAGGGGCUUAUUAGUUUUGCAUACAAAAGGGGAGGAUUAUUUUGUAAAUAAUUAUUUGGUAGCAAUUUAUCAUAAAUGAAAUUAGAAUUGAAAAAAGAAAACAAAUACAGUCACAACCAUGACAAUGAUUCAUUCACAGAAAUAAAGUUUUACAAACUCAAAAUAUUAGUUGUCUUUAUCUUAUAAUCAGAAUUUUCAUAUUAAUUCAUCUAUUGCAUGUGACCAUAGACCAAACUUGUGGUCUGAUGCCUUACAGAUUUAGUCAUUUAAAACACAUUUAAAACACACCUAGAAUGAUUUGCAGAAUGCAGGAUAAUGCAUGAAGGCACAAAAAAAAAAGGAAGGGGCACCCACCCUCCAUUCCCUCACUCCACAUUAUUAGAAAUUUAUAUGAGUCUGUGAUCUAUAAGAAUAAAAGCAAACAUGAAUUUACAAUCAUAUUAUAUAAAUAUAAAUUAAACAAACAAUUGCAUAUAUUCCAAAUAGAAUUAUGAACUCAAGUAUAAAUAGGUUAUAGUUUAUCUAAUUAACCAAUAUGCAGACUGACAUUUCAUAUCAUAUUUUUCAGGAAUGAUACAUGCAGGAAUUGGUGCCACACAUUUUACCAAUUUCCUUAAUGGUUUUAAUGUACUUUCUGUGAAUUCAUCAACCAUAUAUAAAUAAAAAGGAGAAUGAAACUGGAAAGAAAAUAUUUGCAGUUGCAAAAGAAUCCUGUAAAUUAAUUCAGGAGAAGAAACAGUUUUAAACAUGGUUAAUAUAAUGAGUAGUUGGAAGGUAAUUAAAUCAUUAGUUAUAUAUUUUCAAAGUAUUUUUUUUAUAAUUUUAUAAAGUAGAUAUAAAGUAUAAUGAGGACCAUAAUUAUAUUCAUAUUUGCCCUAGCAGUCAUAAAAAUGAAUUAACAGAUCUUGGUAAUAACUUUUCAAGUUAAGGGUCAAGUUUUCAAAUUAAUUUUGUGGUAAAGCAGUGUUAUAUAUACUUAAAGACCUUCAUGUAUAGAUCAUGACAGAAUUUGUUUCAACAAAAAUAUUGAACUAGAAUUAUUUACAUUUGUAUUUAUUAAAUGAAAUUUAUAUUUAUGGAUAAUUUCAACAAAUUUAAUGAAACCAAAUUAGUUUUGAAAGCCUUUUAUUAUUAUUACAAAUUUAAUUGUUAACAGCCUGAGUUUCCAGUUAAUUUUAAAUGUAAUAUGUCUUAGCUAUAGUAUUUGAACACUGCAUGUUCUUUCAUUUUACAUUUGAUACUACUUUUUUUCAUUAGGUUGAGGCCAGUUUUGUUGCAGAAUGGCAUAUUUUUGGUACUGGUUGGACCUAUGAAAGUAAUACAGGUAAAU